AACGAACGCUGGCGGCAGGCUUAACACAUGCAAGUCGAACGGGUGUAGCAAUACAUCAGUGGCAGACGGGUGAGUAACACGUGGGAACCUUCCUAGGGGUACGGAACAACUCAGGGAAACUUGAGCUAAUACCGUAUACGUCCGUGAGGAGAAAGAUUUAUCGCCCUUAGACGGGCCCGCGUCGGAUUAGGUAGUUGGUGGGGUAACAGCCUACCAAGCCUACGAUCCGUAGCUGAUCUUAGAGGAUGAUCAGCCACACUGGGACUGAGACACGGCCCAGACUCCUACGGGAGGCAGCAGUGGGGAAUCUUGGACAAUGGGCGCAAGCCUGAUCCAGCCAUGCCGCGUGAGUGAAGAAGGCCUUAGGGUUGUAAAGCUCUUUUACCAGGGACGAUAAUGACGGUACCUGGAGAAUAAGCCCCGGCAAACUUCGUGCCAGCAGCCGCCGUAA
rnacentral:rRNA from 1 species